UGCGAAGGCAGUYUACUACGUAUGUACUGACGCUGAGGGACRAAAGCGUGGGGAGCGAACAGGAUUAGAUACCCUGGUAGUCCACGCCGUAAACGAUGGAUACUAGUUGUUGGGAUUUAUCUCAGUGACUAAGCGAAAGUGAUAAGUAUCCCACCUGGGGAGUACGGUCGCAA
rnacentral:rRNA from 1 species